UCGCCUGCUGGAGAUGGCAUUCUCCUUUAACCGCCCAGACAGGGCUGAUGAUGCCUGCAUGCCC
rnacentral:ncRNA from 2 species